AACGACAAACUACUCUUUACCCCCACAAAAACUACUCUUUCAGUGCUUCAUUCCCUCUGAGAAUCACACACCAUUUUUCUUCUUCUUCUUCUUCUUCUUUUUCAUACAAACUUCUCUUCCAGUGCUUCAUUCUCUCUGAGAACCACAUACACAUCUCCAUUAUUCCAUCUUUUUCAUUGCUCGAAUCUCUUCCAAGUUUUCAUCUCAAUGUUAAUCGCGAUAUGAAUCCUUUUCUCGGACAAGCUAGUGUUGAUUUUGAUUGAAAUCUGAAUCGCGCUCUAAUCAUUAGUAAAAAAAGCCUCUGCAUCUUGCAUUCCUUAUGUCAAAGCAUUCUUGUUGAUACUGCUAUAACUCAGCAUGGUAUGGGUGAUGAAGCUACUAUAAAGGAAAUAAUUUCUGAGGUGAAUACAAAUAAUGUAAGUUGGUUCUAAACUUAAAUCUGCGGAACUUCCUUAUGAAAAUAUUGUUAUCAUUACUGAGAUUUUUAAACUAACAUGAUGGAAGAAUAAACUAUGAUAAAUUAUGUGCAAUGAUAAAAAGUGGAACCCCACACCCCAGACAACUACACUAAAUCUCUUGAAUUUAGUCAAUUUCACACCAUUGAUCUGUAUUUGUUGAAGUAUUGUUUGGUACAAAUUUAAAUUCGAGCUAUCACAUGUUAUUGUACUGAAGUCGAAAUUUUUAUGUUAAAGUAUCAGCUAUGAUAUCCUAUGAGGAUUUAUCAUUCUGUAUGUUGGCUGAGGAAAGAGCAACAAUGAGGUCUUGAAAUUCUUGAUGGAAAGUAAUAGUGUCAAUGCCCUUCAUGGUCAGGAUUGUGCUGUUAGUUUGCUCUUUGCAUGGCUUCCAGUAUUGGGUGGAACAUCAGGUGUUCUUCAAGGAGUACAUACGUGACUAAAUCGUUUCUGAGCUGGUUAAUUGUCUCUGUAUUGCAAAGAUCAGCUAGUUCCAUGGAGGUAGAUGAACUUGUUUGCCCCAAGAUGAUGCUUUAAGUUUUGUAGAGACACGUCAAAUGCUAGGGAAUAGUUUUGAAAUGCUUCCUCCUGAAUGGACCGACUAGUUUGAUUCUGGCAUUCAUCAGGUCACUCCUGCAGAAAGCUCAUUUUAAGAUAGAAGGGGACAUAACAACCCUGCAAGAAGCUCAUUUUAAGUUUAUAGACUUGUAGUAUUUUUUGUUAUUUAGAUUUGUAACAUCAUUUAUUACUUUUCAAGAGAAAUUUGUAUAUCAAUAUUUUGAGUUUAAUUAAAUAUCUCAUUUUGUAGUAA